AUUGAACGCUGGCGGCAUGCUUUACACAUGCAAGUCGAACGGUAACAGCACUUCGGUGGCUGACGAGUGGCGAACGGGUGAGUAAUACAUCGGAACGUGCCUAGUAGUGGGGGAUAACUACUCGAAAGAGUAGCUAAUACCGCAUGAGAUCUAAGGAUGAAAGCAGGGGACCUUCGGGCCUUGCGCUACUAGAGCGGCUGAUGGCAGAUUAGGUAGUUGGUGGGAUAAAAGCUUACCAAGCCGACGAUCUGUAGCUGGUCUGAGAGGACGACCAGCCACACUGGGACUGAGACACGGCCCAGACUCCUACGGGAGGCAGCAGUGGGGAAUUUUGGACAAUGGGCGCAAGCCUGAUCCGGCAAUGCCGCGUGCAGGAUGAAGGCCUUCGGGUUGUAAACUGCUUUUGUACGGAACGAAAAGCCCUCUUCUAAUACAGGAGGGUCAUGACGGUACCGUAAGAAUAAGCACCGACUAACUACGUG
rnacentral:rRNA from 1 species